rnacentral:rRNA from 1 species
GAUGAACGCUAGCGGCAGGCCUAAUACAUGCAAGUCGAACGGUGUCUUCGGACAUAGUGGCGCACGGGUGCGUAACACGUAUGCAACCUACCUUACAUUGGGGGAUAGCCUUUCGAAAGGGAGAUUAAUACCGCAUAAGACAGUAACUAGGCAUCUAGUAGCUGUUAAAGAUUUAUCGAUGUAAGCUGGGCAUGCGUCCAAUUAGCUAGUUGGUGAGGUAACGGCUCACCAAGGCAAUGAUUGGUAGGGGAACUGAGAGGUCAAUCCCCCACACGGGCACUGAGAUACGGGCCAGACUACUACGGGAGGCAGCAGUAGGGAAUAUUGGGCAAUGGACGCAAGUCUGACCCAGCCAUGCCGCGUGCAGGAUGAAGGCGUUAUGCGUUGUAAACUGCUUUUAUACAGGAAGAAACGACUCUUGCGAGAGGCAUUGACGGUACUGUAUGAAUAAGCACCGGCUAACUCCGUGCCAGCCGCCGCGGUAACAC